UAAGUAUAAGCAAUUAUACCGCGAAACUGCGAAUGGCUCAUUAUAUAAGUUAUCGUUUAUUUGAUAGCACAUUACUACUUGGAUAACCGUGGUAAUUCUAGAGCUAAUACAUGCUAAAAAUCCCGACUUCGGAAGGGAUGUAUUUAUUAGAUUAAAAGCCAACGCCCUUCGGGGCUCUCUGGUGAUUCAUAAUAACUGGUCGAAUCGCAUGGCCUUGCGCCGGCGAUGGUUCAUUCAAAUUUCUUCCCUAUCAACUUUCGAUGCGAGGGUCUUGUCCUCGCAUGGUUGCAACGGGUAACGGAGGGUUAGGGCUCGACCCCGGAGAAGGAGCCUGAGAAACGGCUACUACAUCCAAGGUAGGCAGCAGGCGCGCAAAUUACCCAAUCCCGACACGGGGAGGUAGUGACAAUAAAUACUGAUACAGGGCUCUUUUGGGUCUUGUAAUCGGAAUGAGUACAAUUUAAAUCCCUUAACGAGGAACAAUUUGGAGGGGCAAGUCUGGUA
rnacentral:rRNA from 1 species